GUCCUACAUAAUAAUCGCUUUCAUGUAGCGUAGGAUGUAAGUAAGCAAAAGCUGAAACCAAGAAUUAUU
rnacentral:ribozyme from 1 species